rnacentral:misc_RNA from 1 species
AGUCCUACCUGAUUGAGGCCAGAUGUCAAAGUUACACAAUGAGUAACAUCCGAAGAUGCACUUAAAGUGAUGGUUUAGUUAGCAGACAAUAGUCUAGGUCCUGGCCAUCCGAAGAUGUCCUCAGCAAAAUACUUAUUAUGCCAAGUCAAACCAGUCAUAGAGACAGAUCUAGCUAAUACUUUUAAGAUGAGUCGGCUUAUCACCGGCAAACAUCCAAAUCCAAACUCAAGCAUGGAUCGAAAUCCAAAACUUGGGUUUGAGAGUUUCAUGACACCCAAACAGGCAUGCUCCUCGGAAUACCAAGGAGCGCAAGGUGCGUUCAAAGAUUCGAUGAUUCACUGAAUUCUGCAAUUCACAUUACUUAUCGCAUUUCGCUGCGUUCUUCAUCGAUGCGAGAGCCAAGAGAUCCGUUGUUAAAAGUUUUAUUAGUUAUAAUAAGACUACAUUUGUUACAAUAAUGUUUAGUAUAAAAGUGGAUGCAAGCAUCCAACAGUUCACAGGUGUUAUGGAUAGAAUUACCAACAGUGUUACCUGUUGGCACAUCCGGACCGAAGCCACAGAUGAUUUGAAUUCAAUAAUGAUCCUUCCGCAGGUUCACCUACGGAAACCUUGUUACGACUUUUACUUCCUCUAAAUGACCAAGUUUGAUCAGCUUUUCAGCAAUAGGUAGCCGUUGCCAGCUUCCCAAAGCCAAUCCGGAGAUCUCACUAAGCCAUUCAAUCGGUAGUAGCG